rnacentral:rRNA from 1 species
GAUGAACGCUAGCUACAGGCUUAACACAUGCAAGUCGAGGGGCAGCAUGAACUUAGCUUGCUAAGUUUGAUGGCGACCGGCGCACGGGUGAGUAACACGUAUCCAACCUGCCGUCUACUCUUGGACAGCCUUCUGAAAGGAAGAUUAAUACAAGAUGGCAUCAUGAGUCCGCAUGUUCACAUGAUUAAAGGUAUUCCGGUAGACGAUGGGGAUGCGUUCCAUUAGAUAGUAGGCGGGGUAACGGCCCACCUAGUCUUCGAUGGAUAGGGGUUCUGAGAGGAAGGUCCCCCACAUUGGAACUGAGACACGGUCCAA